GACGAACGCUGGCGGCGUGCUUAACACAUGCAAGUCGAGCGGAAAGGCCACUUCGGUGGUACUCGAGCGGCGAACGGGUGAGUAACACGUGAGUAAUCUGCCCCUGGCUUUGGGAUAGCCACCGGAAACGGUGAUUAAUACCGGAUAUGACACAUUCUCGCAUGAGUUUGUGUGGAAAGUUUUUCGGCCAGGGAUGUGCUCGCGGCCUAUCAGCUUGAUGGUGGGGUAAUGGCUCACCAUGGCUUCGACGGGUAGCCGGCCUGAGAGGGUGACCGGUCACACUGGGACUGAGACACGGCCCAGACUCCUACGGGAGGCAGCAGUGGGGAAUAUUGGACAAUGGGCGGAAGCCUGAUCCAGCAACGCCGCGUGAGGGAUGACGGCCUUCGGGUUGUAAACCUCUUUCAGUACCGACGAAGCGCAAGUGACGGUAGGUACAGAAGAAGCACCGGCCAACUACGUG
rnacentral:rRNA from 1 species